CCUACGGGAGGCAGCAGUAAGGAAUAUUGGACAAUGGACGCAAGUCUGAUCCAGCCAUGCCGCGUGAAGGAUUAAGGUCCUCUGGAUUGUAAACUUCUUUUAUAAGGGACGAAAAAAGGCUUUUCUAAGUCGUCUGACGGUACCUUAUGAAUAAGCACCGGCUAACUCCGUGCCAGCAGCCGCGGUAAU
rnacentral:rRNA from 1 species